UAUAGUGUAGCCGAGUGGCCUAUGGCAAUGGUUUUAGGCACCAGUCUCGUCGGAGUCAAGGGUUCGAAUCCUUUCGCUGUCA
rfam:Daphnia pulex DAPPTscaffold_152_Cont6016, whole genome shotgun sequence.